rnacentral:rRNA from 1 species
GACAGAGGGUGACAAACGUUGUUCGGAAUUACUGGGCGUAAAGCGCGUGUAGGUGGCGAGGCAAGUCGGGUGUGAAAGCCCCUGGGCUCAACCCAGGAAGUGCACUCGAUACUGCCUAGCUAGAGUCCCGGAGAGGUUGGUGGAACUCUCGGUGUAGAGGUGAAAUUCGUAGAUAUCGAGAAGAACACCGGUGGCGAAGGCGGCCAACUGGACGGUGACUGACACUGAGACGCGAAAGCGUGGGGAGCAAACAGG